GACGUAGGGCGCGAGCGUUGUCCGGAUUUAUUGGGCGUAAAGAGCUCGUAGGCGGCUUGUCGCGUCGACUGUGAAAACCCGCGGCUCAACCGCGGGCCUGCAGCCGAUACGGGCAGGCUAGAGUUCGGUAGGGGAGACUGGAAUUCCUGGUGUAGCGGUGAAAUGCGCAGAUAUCAGGAAGAACACCAAUGGCGAAAGCAGCUCUCUGGGACGGUACUGACGCUGAGACGCGAAAGCGUGGGAGCGAACAGG
rnacentral:rRNA from 1 species